GACGAACGCUGGCGGCGUGCUUAACACAUGCAAGUCGAACGGAAAGUCCCUGCUUUUGUGGGGUGCUCGAGUUGCGAACGGGUGAGUAACACGUGAGUAACCUGCCCUUGACUUUGGGAUAUCUUCAUGCAACUUGGUCUAAUCCCGGCUAGGAUCUCCUGCUUCAUGGUGGGGGUUGGAAAGUUUCGGCGGUUGGGGAUGGACUCGCGGCUUAUCAGCUUGUUGGUGGGGUAGUGGCUUACCAAGGCUUUGACGGGUAGCAGGCCUGAGAGGGUGACCGGACAAAUUGGGACUGAGAUAAGGCCCAGACUACUACGGGAGGCAGCAGUGGGGAAUAUUGCACAAGGGGCGGAAGCAUGAUGCAGCAAAGCAGCGUGCGGGAUGACGGCCAGCGGGUUGUAAACCGAUGUCGCCUGUGACGAAGCGAGAGUGACGGUAAUGGGUAAAGAAGCACCGGCUAACUACGUG
rnacentral:rRNA from 1 species